GGGCCCGCACAAGCGGCGGAGCAUGCGGAUUAAUUCGAUGCAACGCGAAGAACCUUACCUGGGUUUGACAUGGGCGCUAAAGCCACAGAGAUGUGGUGUCCUUCGGGGGCGUUCACAGGUGGUGCAUGGCUGUCGUCAGCUCGUGUCGUGAGAUGUUGGGUUAAGUCCCGCAACGAGCGCAACCCUCGUUCCAUGUUGCCAGCGGGUAAUGCCGGGGACUCAUGGGAGACUGCCGGGGUCAACUCGGAGGAAGGUGGGGAUGACGUCAAGUCAUCAUGCCCCUUAUGUCCAGGGCUUCACGCAUGCUACAAUGGCCGGUACAAAGGGCUGCGAUACCGCAAGGUGGAGCGAAUCCCAAAAAGCCGGUCUCAGUUCGGAUCGGGGUCUGCAACUCGACCCCGUGAAGUCGGAGUCGCUAGUAAUCGCAGAUCAGCAAUGCUGCGGUGAAUACGUUCCCGGGCCUU
rnacentral:rRNA from 1 species